rnacentral:rRNA from 1 species
GACGAACGCUGGCGGCGUGCUUAACACAUGCAAGUCGAGCGGUAAGGCUCCUUCGGGAGUACACGAGCGGCGAACAGGUGAGUAACACGUGAGCAAUCUGCCCUUCACACGGGGAUAACUCCGGGAAACCGAAGCUAAUACCCGAUACGACCACUUCAGGCAUCUGAUGGUGGUGGAAAGUUCCGGCGGUGAAGGAUGAGCUCGCGGCCUAUCAGCUUGUUGGUGGGGUAACGGCCCACCAAGGCAACGACGGGUAGCCGGCCUGAGAGGGUGACCGGCCACACUGGGACUGAGGCACGGCCCAGACUCCUACGGGAGGCAGCAGUGGGGAAUAUUGGACAAUGGGCGAAAGCCUGAUCCAGCAACGCCGCGUGAGGGAUGACGGCCUUCGGGUUGUAAACCUCUUUCAGCAGGGACGAAGCGCAGGUGACGGUACCUGCAGAAGAAGCACCGGCCAACUACGUGCCAGCCGCCGCAGUAAAAC